rnacentral:lncRNA from 1 species
CAUUCUUAAUAAUACAUUGCAUCUUUAAUGAAAACAAUAUUUUCUGGAAGAACGGUGCAAGUAAAGCCACGUAGGAGUGGAAGGAUUUGGGCAAGGUUCCACAGUGAGGCUCACAUGUGAAAUCUUCACUGCACCAUCCAUGGAGGAACUGCUGCAGCAAAGGCACUGGGGUCAGAGGGCACAUAAUGUUACAGAAAGUCAUUGAUGUGGUUAAUAAGUUUUAUAAGUUAAAAUAUAGCAGAAUAUUUGUAAUACUUAAUAAUGAUGUGGGCAUGACAAUCAAAAUAUUUUAUAUUUCAUUAAGACUCAAAGAUGAUUUUGAGACAGAGGUCUUAAAUGUUGCUAAACUUGAAAAUAUGCAUCAUUGUUUGACCUAAAGACAGCUGUCCCCAAUUUGUUAUCUUUUUUAUGUGACAACAAGCAGAAUGCUUCCUAUCAGAUUAAAAUAAAUUCACGCACAAUCUGUCACUUCAAGAUGAAAUGUGAUGAAACUAAGGAGUAAUAAAAUAAUUGCUCGUUA